UACGUAGGGGGCAAGCGUUGUCCGGAAUCAUUGGGCGUAAAGAGCGUGUAGGCGGCUCUGUAAGUCCGCUGUGAAAGUCCAGGGCUCAACCCUGGAAUGCCGGUGGAAACUGUCGAGCUAGAGUCCGGAAGAGGCGAGUGGAAUUCCUGGUGUAGCGGUGAAAUGCGUAGAGAUCGGAAAGAACACCAACGGCGAAAGCACUCUGCUGGGCCGACACUGACACUGAGAGACGAAAGCUAGGGGAGCAAAUGGG
rnacentral:rRNA from 1 species